UCGAUUCCCUUAGUAGCGGCGAGCGAAACGGGAAGAGCCCAAACCAACAAGCUUGCUUGUUGGGGUUGUAGGACACUCUAUACGGAGUUACAAAGGACGACAUUAGACGAAUCAUCUGGAAAGAUGAAUCAAAGAAGGUAAUAAUCCUGUAGUCGAAAAUGUUGUCUCUCUUGAGUGGAUCCUGAGUACGACGGAGCACGUGAAAUUCCGUCGGAAUCUGGGAGGACCAUCUCCUAAGGCUAAAUACUCUCUAGUGACCGAUAGUGAACCAGUACCGUGAGGGAAAGGUGAAAAGCACCCCGGAAGGGGAGUGAAAUAGAACCUGAAACCGUGUGCUUACAAGUAGUCAGAGCCCGUUAAUGGGUGAUGGCGUGCCUUUUGUAGAAUGAACCGGCGAGUU
rnacentral:rRNA from 1 species